rnacentral:tRNA from 1 species
UGCGGAGUGGGGGAGUUCGGUUGUCCCCGCUGGCCUCAUAAGCCAGAGAUCGUGGGUUCAAAUCCCACCUCCGCAAC